rnacentral:SRP_RNA from 1 species
UGGUCAGAUCCGAGAGGGAGCAGCGGGAGCGGCUCGAUGAGCAGCGGGGACUGCCGGAGUUCCAGCUUGA